GGGCGGGACGGCCACUAAAGGGUCCCUGAGGGGAGGGCCCUGAGCCAGACCAGCGGACCACAGCAGUCCUUGAGGCCACUAUCUCCACCCCUCACCUCCCCACCCCGCUCCCGUGGCCUGCUUUUAGGAAGCCUCGCUCUGGGCCCCAGCAAUCCCAGCCCUCCCCAGGGCUGUCCCAGCUCUUGGCUCCAGGCCUGCCCCUCCACCUCACCCCCACCCCACCCCGGGCCUCUCCUGGGCAUCAGGAGGGCAGGCAAGGGUCCAGCUGGAGCAAAGCUGGAGGGCCAGGAAGCCUCUCACUCCCUGCUGGCUGCAGCACCAGAAAACCAUCUGGACUGAGAACCACCACGUUUAUUAGAUUCAUUCUCUCCACAACGCCCCCCCCCCCCGCCCCCACCUUCCAUCUCCCAUCUGACCCUCCCCUCAUCCCUCAGCCACCUAACACUACACCAGCUCCAGCUGGCAGCUUUUGAGUGGACUCAGGGUGCGGUUUGUGGUACGGCUGAAGGUGUCCACCUCCGGCACAAACUUCUCAGCAGGCACAGUCAGCUUCCGACGGGUGUCCAUGCACUUGGUGUCCAACAGCAUAGAGUUGGCCUUGCAGGCGAUGUCAGCCUGCAGCCUGGCCAGGUGCUUGUAGAGAGCAUCCAGAGCAUCCCUAGGGAGGAGUCACAAACAACCCCUCACUCCUGCAUGAUCCUGGGAGGCCGGGGCAGAGCUCUCUGGCCCUCAGUCAGGAAGACAUCGAGGAAGCCAGAAGGCAACAAAAGGCCCUGUGGGUGGGCGGUGUCUCCCUGCCCCUGCUGCCCACUCCCCAAACUUACUGUGCUUGUGCCAGCUUCUGCUUCAGGGCAGCAAUGGUUGCCUCUAAUUGGUGAACCUCGUCAGUGAGGCCAUGCUGUGCCUAGAGGCAGCUUUGGGCCAGGACCCUGAGGCUCUAAGAGGAGAAGCCCUGUUCUCCAUCCAAGGAGAGGACGACUUAGUUUUGCAGGGGACGCAGAGAGGGAGCAUGCGUGUGAGUGGGGGCGAGGGGAGAGACAGAGAGACAAGGAUAGAAGGUCUGAAGCAGGCUCCACGCUGACACCAGAGACCGGCAUGCAGGGUUUGAACUCACCAACCAUAAGAUCAUGACCUGAGCCAAAGUCUAUUGCUUCAUCGACUGAGGCACACAGGCUGGCCUGGUCCUCUUCUGAGGACUGUGCUGAAUGAUCCUAGGAGACACAUUUUGAACUCAAGCAUUAUUCUUAGAGGAAGAUCUUUUCAUAGAGACAAGCACGAGAAAAGGGCUACUGAGUAAAGGUGUUGCAAUGAUCUUUGUAAACCGUGGAUACUGUAGAAGUAACAAAGUGAUGGAAGAUAGGAAUCCAAUCAUCUUCCUUCUACAGAUAAGACUAAAGAUUUCAGUCCCCCUUAUGAUAAAAACAUCUUAUAAAAUAUCAUAAAAAUGAUCAUGUCCUUUCCUGGCAUUGACAGAUUAACCUAGUUAAUUUUCUAGAAGCAUCUGCAAGGUAUGCAAGUCUCAGCAAUUAUGAAGAAUCUGUCAAGUGAUCAGACAACGGAAACCACAAGAACUUAAAGUUCAAGAGGCACGGCCCCCCAAAAGCAAAAUCACCUUGGACUCUUGGACUGCCACCUCAUUUCUGCACAUGCUUAAGUGUACUGCACUGAGCACCCCUUUCUAUGAAGAAAGCUCAAGCCCCUGAACUCUAAUAUAAUUGGUUAUUUGUUCUGUCCA